rnacentral:rRNA from 1 species
UACGUAGGGUGCGAGCGUUGUCCGGAAUUAUUGGGCGUAAAGAGCUCGUAGGCGGUGUGUCGCGUCGGCCGUGAAAACCUGGGGCUUAACUCUGGGCGUGCGGUCGAUACGGGCAUCACUAGAGUUCGGCAGGGGAGACUGGAAUUCCUGGUGUAGCGGUGAAAUGCGCAGAUAUCAGGAGGAACACCGGUGGCGAAGGCGGGUCUCUGGGCCGAUACUGACGCUGAGGCGCGAAAGCGUGGGGAGCGAACAGG